rnacentral:rRNA from 1 species
AACGAACGCUGGCGGCAGGCCUAACACAUGCAAGUCGAACGGUAACGGGCCUUCGGGUGCCGACGAGUGGCGAACGGGUGAGUAAUGUAUCGGAGCGUACCUUUCAGUGGGGGAUAACGCAUCGAAAGGUGUGCUAAUACCGCAUACGCUCUGAGGAGGAAAGCUGGGGAUCGAAAGACCUGGCGUUAUUCGAGCGGCCGACGUCUGAUUAGCUAGUUGGUGAGGUAAAGGCUCACCAAGGCGACGAUCAGUAGCGGGUCUGAGAGGAUGAUCCGCCACACUGGGACUGAGACACGGCCCAGACUCCUACGGGAGGCAGCAGUGGGGAAUUUUGGACAAUGGGGGCAACCCUGAUCCAGCCAUGCCGCGUGUCUGAAGAAGGCCUUCGGGUUGUAAAGGACUUUUGUUAGGGAGCAAGUCCUGCAGGUUAAGAGCUAGUAGGGAUGAGAGUACCUAAAGAAUAAGCACCGGCUAACUACGUGCCAGCAGCCGCCGUAAGAC